AUGUCGCUGCAUUACCAUGUUUUCCUCUUUCCGAAGGAUGGCCUACUCAAGGAGCCAUUAUCAGCCACUAGCACGCAAGGCCAGGUUCCGCCACUCGGGGAAGCACAAGAGGAGGUCGAGGAGCCCAAGAAAAUUGUGUUGCCAAUGUUAAUGUACUCGUCAUCCACAAGGCGGUGGGAGGACCGAGAGUUCACUCCUGGGCAUUGUGCCCCAGGGUACCUCUACGACAUGGUUUGCAGAAUGCCUGAGACCUACGACGGUGCAUUUCAUUCAUCUAAUUACUGGAGUGGGUCUGUCUACAUACAUUGCCACAACAGUAUCCUUGUGAUCCUGCGCCCCUUCAAGGGAACUUAUGAUAUGGUCCAGCUUCCCGGGGAACCCUGUGAUCCAAGAAGCUGGUACUCGAUGCCCAAAAAUUCGGUCUUAGAAAGCUAUGAGAGAGGGAUACAUUAUGUGGCGACUAACAAUACACAACUUCGAGUAUGGAUGCUAACUGAAUUGGCGGAUGGACAACUAGGUUGGACAUUAUCACAUGGCCAACCUCAACUUGCAUGGCCAUAUGAUUUGCACUCUUAA
rnacentral:rRNA from 1 species